rnacentral:tRNA from 1 species
AGAGGCAUAGCUCAAAUGGUAGAGUACUUGCCUAGCAAGCAUGAAGCCCUAAAUUCAAUUCUUAGUACCAUCU